CCUACGGGAGGCAGCAGUGGGGGAUAUUGCACAAUGGGGGGAACCCUGAUGCAGCGACGCCGCGUGGGUGAAGACGCGCCUCGGCGUGUAAAGCUCUGUCAGCAGGGAAGAAAAUGACGGUACCUGUAGAAGAAGCCCCGGCUAAUUACGUGCCAGCAGCCGCGGUAAUACGUAGGGGGCAAGCGUUAUCCGGAGUUACUGGGUGUAAAGGGGGCGCAGACGGCGAUGCAAGCCAGGAGUGAAAGCCCGGGGCCCAACCCCGGGCCUGCUCUUGGAAAUGCGUGGCUGGAGUGCAGGAGGGGAAGGCGGAAUUCCUGGGGUAGCGGUGAAAUGCGUAGAUAGCAGGAGGAACACCGGUGGCGAAGGCGGCCUGCUGGACUGCAACUGACGUUGAGGCCCGAAAGCGUGGGGAGCAAACAGGAUUAGAUACCCCAGUAGUC
rnacentral:rRNA from 1 species